rnacentral:sRNA from 1 species
GGUAUUGUUUACCUCACGAUAAGCCCCGGAAACUUAUUGUCAUUGCGUGACAAGGAACGGUCACGCCUGUAAACAACUA